rnacentral:lncRNA from 10 species
UCUUUUUUUUUUUUUUGGAGAUGGAGUCCCGCUGUGUCGCCUAGACUGGAGUGCAGUGGCGCGAUCUUGGCUCACUGCAACCUCCGACUCCUGGGAUCAAGCAAUUCUCUUGCCUCAGCCUCCCGAGUAGCUAGGAUUACAGCACCCACCACCAUGCCCAGGUAAUUUUUUUUGUAUUUUUAGUAGACAUGGGGUUUCACCAUGUUGGCCAGGCUGGCCUCGAACUCCUGACCUCGUGAUCUGCCCGCUUCGUCCUCCCAAAGUGCUGGGAUUACAGGCAUGAGCCACCACGCCUGGUCACCACCACUUCUCUCUGUGUGGCUUUAAGCAAGUUACUUAAAUUCCCUGCACUUCAGUUUUCCGUAGAGUUCAUGUACAUCAGUUGUCAAAGGGCAGAUGUCUGGCACAUUGGAAAUAUUACCGAAUGUUAGUUAUCCGUGAAUCGGGGGACUGAUUUUAUAACCACCCAAAUCAUAUUUAUUUCCUGGGGGUACUUGUCAGGAAUGCAGUCUCUCUGGUCCCACCCCACAGGAUGGAACUGGAAACUAAGGAUGAGCCCAGUCAUCUGUGUCUUCAAGAACUCUCCAGUGAUUCUGGUGCACUUGUGUUAUAGAACCGCUGUGCUAGAGGUCUUAGUAUUUGCUGUGAAUGUGAGUAGGUAAAGAGAGGGUAUUUGGUGAGUGUCACUACCUCAGUGCAGGCCAGGGACCAGUGGUUCCACAUCAAUGUGGGGGAGUGUUAGAAUGCAUGGUCUCUGGCCACACCCCAAACAAGCUGGAUUGAAAGUCGCAUUUUCAUCAGCUCCUGGAGAUUCUCCUGGAGAUUCUCCUGUAUGAUCUCUUUCUCUUUUUCUUUCCUUCUCUUCCUUUCUCAUUCUCCUCUCUCUUCCCCUUUGCCAUCUCCACUGCUCCCUUUCUCAGUGACAAUUGGGCAUACCCCUCGCAGUGCCGGCUGCUCAGGUGGGAAAGUGGAGAAGACUCUUCUAUUUCCCAGCCUGAGAAAAUUUGCUUACCUGUAAUCCCAGCACUUUGGGAGGCUGAGGCGGGCAGAUAAUUUCAGCCCAGGAGUUUGAGAUCAGGCUGGGCAACAUGGCGUAACUUCGUCUCUACAAAAAGUACAGAAAUUGACCCAGCAUAGAGUCGUGCACCUGUAGUCCCAGCUAUUGAGGAGGAUGAGCUGGGAGGAUCAUUUGAGCCUGGAAGGCAGAGGUUGCAGUGAGUGGAGAUCGUGCCACUGCACUCCAGCCUGGGACAGAGUGAGACCCUGUCUCAAA